rnacentral:rRNA from 1 species
AUUGAACGCUGGCGGCAGGCCUAACACAUGCAAGUCGAGCGGCAGCGGAAAAGUAGCUUGCUACUUUUGCCGGCGAGCGGCGGACGGGUGAGUAAUGCCUGGGGAUCUGCCCAGUCGAGGGGGAUAACUACUGGAAACGGUAGCUAAUACCGCAUACGCCCUACGGGGGAAAGCAGGGGACCUUCGGGCCUUGCGCGAAUGGAUGAACCCAGGUGGGAUUAGUUAGUUGGUGAGGUAAUGGCUCACCAAGGCGAUGAUCCCUAGCUGGUCUGAGAGGAUGAUCAGCCACACUGGAACUGAGACACGGUCCAGACUCCUACGGGAGGCAGCAGUGGGGAAUAUUGCACAAUGGGGGAAACCCUGAUGCAGCCAUGCCGCGUGUGUGAAGAAGGCCUUCGGGUUGUAAAGCACUUUCAGCGAGGAGGAAAGGUUGGUAGCUAAUAACUGCCAGCUGUGACGUUACUCGCAGAAGAAGCACCGGCUAACUCCGUGCCAGCCGCCGCCGUAA